rnacentral:rRNA from 1 species
UUGAACGCUGGCGGCAUGCUUUACACAUGCCAGUCGAACGGCAGCGCGGGCUUCGGCCUGGCGUCGAGUGGCGAACGGGUGAGUAAUACAUCGGAACGUGCCCAGUAGUGGGGGAUAGCUCGGCGAAAGCCGGAUUAAUACCGCAUACGACCUGAGGGUGAAAGCGGGGGAUCUUCGGACCUCGCGCUAUUGGAGCGGCCGAUGGCAGAUUAGCUAGUUGGUGGGGUAAAGGCCUACCAAGGCGACGAUCUGUAGCUGGUCUGAGAGGACGACCAGCCACACUGGGACUGAGACACGGCCCAGAAUACUACGGGAGGCAGCAGUGGGGAAUGUUGGACAAUGGGCGAAAGACUGAUCCAGCAAUGACGGGUGUGUGAUGAAGGCCUUCGGGUUGUAAAGCACUUUUGGCGGGAACGAAAAGGAAUGUGCCAAUACCACGGUUCGAUGACGGUACCAGCAGAAUAAGCACCGGCUAACUACGUG